GAUGAAGAACGCAGCGAAAUGCGAUAAGUAGUGUGAAUUGCAGAAUUCAGUGAAUCAUCGAAUCUUUGAACGCACAUUGCGCCCCUUGGUAUUCCAUGGGGCAUGCCUGUUCGAGCGUCAUUUGUACCCUCAAGCUUUGCUUGGUGUUGGGUGUUUGUCCCGCGUUGCGCGUGGACUCGCCUUAAAGCGAUUGGCAGCCGGCAUAUUGGCCUUGGAGCGCAGCACAUUUUGCGCUUCUAGUCAUGAAUGUUGGCGUCCAUUAAGCCUAUACAUUUGCUCUUGACCUCGCAUCAGGUAGGGAUACCCGCUGAACUUAAGCAUAUCAAUAAGCGGAGGA
rnacentral:misc_RNA from 1 species